rnacentral:rRNA from 1 species
GCUUAUUAAUCCUACGGGAGGCAGCAGUGGGGAAUAUUACACAAUGGGGCCAAGCGGAAUGCACCCAAUGGGCGAGUAUGAAGAACGCCAACGGGUUGUAAAGACUCUCAGCGGGGAGGAAGGAGGGGGUUUGUACCCUUGUCCCCUGACGUUUCCCUCCCAACAACCACCGGCUUACUCCGUGCCAGCAGCCGCGGUAAUAA